CGUGCUGGGAAUAGUUUUACAAUGAGUUGCACGGACGCUAUGGGUUGAAUCAAGACAGAAGAAGCAAAGCUUCAGAGCAAGGUGAAGAUUAAGCUGUCAUUUCCUAAUCCUGCAACAUUUUUUAUGUAUUAAAAACUGCUUUAAUCGGAAGGCAAACAAUGAAAUCAUUUUUCAUCUCCUGAGCUCUUUUGCUGCUCCCAAGUAAAGAGGAGCCGCGUUCGGUACUUCUGAUUACAAUGAAAGCGGUACCAUUACACCAGGGAAGAAUUUGGCCUGCCCAGUUCUCUGUGGAGCAGCUAUUGACAGCGCUCCCCACGCACCUCGUAUUGUUGGGAAAACAGAGAACUGAAGUUGUGCCAAAAGACAUAGGGCUAACUCCCACUUCCUGACCUCUGGCUGAACCGGAGCUCCUGGAUGUGAGUGACACUUUCCCUCUGUAUGGCUUCUGAUGGCUGGGCUUCCUUCGGCACUGCGCCUGCAGACCUGACCAGAGAGCUGCACUGCUACACCCAGACCUGACUGCAGCUCUAAGCUGUGCGCUUCACAGGGCGGGAUUUCUUGUCAUCCGAUCUCAGAUGCGAUGCACUCUGUGGGGGUGGCUCAUACAAGGCAGGAGUGAUGGAACCCAGCAACCAGAGCUCACAACCAGCACUUUAUAAUUGCUAACCAUUGCUUUCCAAAUAACAGUUGUUCUUAUUACUACCACUGUAUCUUCAUUGGUGUGACUGGAUAAACAAGCAACAGCAUGGACAUCUACGGGAGGAUUUCAAAGAGGAGAGGCAGCCCCACCUUUCCAGCCUUCACACACUCUUGCCUCCUAACCUCCCCAGCUCUGCCCCCUCUGAGGUUCUCUACUGAAUGACCACGUUUGGUCUUGCACACAGAGGCCUUUUUUCCUGUAUGGGCAUUACCUCUUACCCCUGCUCCAGCACUCAGAUGACUUAAUCCAAGUGAUGGGUUUUUUUAUUACACUUCAUUUUCCCAGCACUCCUCUGCCCCACACAGGCAGGGCUGCGAUGCUCACAGAGCCAGCUGAACUAAUGCACAGAAGCCACACAUUAACACAAAGCAGCUCUACUCAGAAGGGAGUGUCUGUUUCUCAGAGCACUGAGGUACCCUGACUGGUAACCUGUAUGAGACUGAAUCACUACUUACAUGGCCUGCUCCCCUGGGUUACAUCAUGGUAAGAGAGAACACACUCGGCUGUGGUCUACUUUGCAUCAUGCUUUGUGCCUGGAUGUUUCAGAGGAUCCCAGUCUUUUCUUGUCAUCAGACCUCAGCUUCAAAUCUCUCCUACUCUUCCACCACAAAAUUCCACUGGGAAAUUACUCUUCUUUUGUCCACUCUCUUUCAACAGUUAUUUGCAGGUCAUUUACUGCUAGCAAAACUGUGCCAAUAAAUCAAAU
ensembl:lncRNA